rnacentral:piRNA from 1 species
UAGAGAAGAAGCCAGGAGGGGUUGCCUGCCC